rnacentral:rRNA from 1 species
UACGUAGGGCGCAAGCGUUGUCCGGAAUUAUUGGGCGUAAAGAGCUCGUAGGCGGCUUGUCACGUCGGGUGUGAAAGCCCCGGGGCUUAACCCCGGGUCUGCAUUCGAUACGGGCAGGCUAGAGUGUGGUAGGGGAGACUGGAAUUCCUGGUGUAGCGGUGAAAUGCGCAGAUAUCAGGAGGAACACCGGUGGCGAAGGCGGGUCUCUGGGCCGAUACUGACGCUGAGGAGCGAAAGCGUGGGGAGCGAACAGG